rnacentral:rRNA from 1 species
CCAAUAGCGUAUAUUAAAGUUGUUGCAGUUAAAAAGCUCGUAGUUGAACUUCGGGGUCUACCCAUUGGUCAGGCUUAAUUGUCUGCACUGGUGAGAUGGAUCUCUACCUUCUGAGGAACUUUCAUGCCAUUUAUUUGGUGUGGUUGGAAAUCAGGACUGUUACUUUGAAAAAAUUAGAGUGUUUAAAGCAGACUAUCGUCUGAAUACAUUAGCAUGGAAUAAUGAAAUAGGACGGACUGAUUCUAUUUCGUUGGUUUCUAGGAUCACCGUAAUGAUUAAUAGGGAUAGUUGGGGGCAUUAGUAUUCAAUUGUCGGAGGUGAAAUUCUUGGAUUUAUUGAAGACUAACUACUGCGAAAGCAUUUGCCAAGGAUGUUUUCAUUAAUCAAGAACGAAAGUUAGGGGAUCGAAGACGAUCAGAUACCGUCGUAGUCUUAACCAUAAACUAUGCCGACUAGGGAUCGGACGAAGUUAAUUUUAUAAUGACGCGUUCGGCACCUUACG